GCUAUGUGAGAUUAAGUUAU
rnacentral:misc_RNA from 2 species